AGCCGAUGCCUGUUUGUCCGAGGCCACGCAGGGCUGCUCCCGCGGUGCCUGAGUUUUUGUAUCCUCCUCUUAGUUGCAGCCACAGCCAUUCAGGUAGUCAAGAGAGCAGCGAAAUAUUGGACGUUGCAUCAAGAAAGAGUAAUCAAGGAAGAGAACCCGCAAUUAUAGGAUGCUCGCCGUCUUGCUACUGUGGAUCACCUCCAGCGAGAUCAGGGAACCCGCUGGUGCACGACAGCCAGUUUGUUCAUCAAGUUCAGCUGUUCUCCAAUUUUAGCUCAUUACAUGGUUCUUCGUAAAUUUGGACCACCGCCGUAACUCUUUACAAUAUUGACUCGAUUAACCUUCGAAAAUUUUCAUUGAAUAAGUGUUCUUGUUUGGUCAGUUUUGCCAAGUUUCGACCAUCGAGAAAUGCAAAUAUUUGAUAAAUACAUUGUAAUAUUGUAAGUUCGAUAAUUUUUUGAAUAUUUGUGGA